rnacentral:rRNA from 1 species
AUGGUAUGUACUGGCUUUACUGAUUCCUCCUUCUUGAAGAACUGUAAUGUCAUUAAUUUGGUGUUGCAGGGAAACAGGACUGUUACUUUGAAAAAAUUAGAGUGUUUAAAGCAGGCUAACGCUUGAAUACAUUAGCGUGGAAUAAUGAAAUAGGACGUUCGAUCCUAUUUUGUUGGUUUCUAGGAUUGACGUAAUGAUUAAUAGGGAUAGUUGGGGGCAUUAGUAUUCAAUUGUCAGAGGUGAAAUUCUUGGAUUUAUUGAAGACUGACUACUGCGAAAGCAUUUGCCAAGGAUGUUUUCGUUAAUCAAGAACGAAAGUUAGGGGAUCGAAGACGAUCAGAUACCGUCGUAGUCUUAACCAUAAACUAUGCCGACUAGGGAUCGGAUGAUGUUAAUUUUUUAAUGACUCAUUCGGCGCCUUACG